rnacentral:rRNA from 1 species
UACGGGGGGGCAAGCGUUGUUCGGAAUUACUGGGCGUAAAGGGCUCGUAGGCGGCCAACUAAGUCGGAUGUGAAAUCCCCAGGCUCAACUUGGGAACUGCAUCCGAUACUGGAUGGCUUGAAUUCGGGAGAGGGAUGCAGAAUUCCAGGUGUAGCGGUGAAAUGCGUAGAUAUACUGGAGGAAUACCGGUGGCGAAGGCGGCAUCCUGGACCGACAUUGACGCUGAGGAGCGAAAGCUAGGGGAGCAAACGGG